rnacentral:lncRNA from 1 species
CGAUAAGCUACCGCACCAAUUCGUUCCAAUAUUUCAUACGGUCCAAUAUACCGAGAACUUAACUUUCCCCGCACUCCAAAUCGCUUCACCCCUUGCAUCGGCGAAACUUUCAAGAACACGCGGUCACCCACCGCAAAUUCCAAAUCUCGACGGCGUUUAUCCGCAUAGCUUUUCUGUCUCGAUUGUGCCGUGAGCAAUCUCUUGCGAGCAAGGCGAACUUUCUCCUCCGCCUCCCGCAAGACAUCGGGGCCUACCACCGCACGCUCACCUACAUCACCCCAGUGUACAGGAGAUCGACACUUCUGCCCAUAAAGA